GGAGCUGUGUCUGAAUUAAAGAACCACUUUGAUAGAGUGGGACAUGUGGGUUAAAACCCCUCCGACUCCU
rnacentral:tRNA from 1 species